rnacentral:rRNA from 1 species
GACGAACGCUGGCGGCGUGCUUGACACAUGCAAGUCGAACGGAAAGGCCUGCUUUCCCUUGUGGAUUGCGGGUACUCGAGUGGCGAACGGGUGAGUAACACGUGGGUGAUCUGCCCCCAACUUGGGUAUAAGCCUGGGAAACUGGGUCUAAUUCCCGAUAGGACUGCAGGGUGGUGCCUGUGGUGGAAAACGAUUUUCUAGUGGUUGGGGAUGAGCUCGCGGCCUAUCAGCUUGUUGGUGGGGUAAUGGCCUACCAAGGCGGCGACGGGUAGCCGGCCUGGGAGGGUGGACGGCCACAUUGGGACUGAGAUACGGCCCAGACUCCUACGGGAGGCAGCAGUGGGGAAUAUUGCACAAUGGGCGGAAGCCUGAUGCAGCGACGCCGCGUGGGGGAUGACGGCCUUCGGGUUGUAAACUCCUUUCGACCGCGAGGAAGCCACCUGGUUGGAAGGGUGGUGACGGUAGUGGUAGAAGAAGCACCGGCUAACUACGUG